GUGGCGAACGGGUGAGUAACACGUGAGCAACCUGCCCUGGACUCUGGGAUAAGCGCUGGAAACGGCGUCUAAUACUGGAUAUGAGACGUGAUCGCAUGGUCGUGUUUGGAAAGAUUUUUCGGUCUGGGAUGGGCUCGCGGCCUAUCAGCUUGUUGGUGAGGUAAUGGCUCACCAAGGCGUCGACGGGUAGCCGGCCUGAGAGGGUGACCGGCCACACUGGGACUGAGACACGGCCCAGACUCCUACGGGAGGCAGCAGUGGGGAAUAUUGCACAAUGGGCGGAAGCCUGAUGCAGCAACCGCCGCGUGAGGGAUGACGNCCUUCGGGUUGUAAACCUCUUUUAGCAGGGAAGAAGCGAAAGUGACGGUACCUGCAGAAAAAGCGCCGGCUAACUACGUGCCAGCAGCCGCGGUAAUACGUAGGGCGCAAGCGUUAUCCGGAAUUAUUGGGCGUAAAGAGCUCGUAGGCGGUUUGUCGCGUCUGCUGUGAAAUCCCGAGGCUCAACCUCGGGCCUGCAGUGGGUACGGGCAGACUAGAGUGCGGUAGGGGAGAUUGGAAUUCCUGGUGUAGCGGUGGAAUGCGCAGAUAUCAGGAGGAACACCGAUGGCGAAGGCAGAUCUCUGGGCCGUAACUGACGCUGAGGAGCGAAAGGGUGGGGAGCAAACAGGCUUAGAUACCCUGGUAGUCCACCCCGUAAACGUUGGGAACUAGUUGUGGGGACCAUUCCACGGUUUCCGUGACGCAGCUAACGCAUUAAGUUCCCCGCCUGGGGAGUACGGCCGCAAGGCUAAAACUCAAAGGAAUUGACGGGGACCNNCNCAAGCGGCGGAGCAUGCGGAUUAAUUCGAUG
rnacentral:rRNA from 2 species